rnacentral:miRNA from 1 species
AGCUUCCUCAUCGAUCAGAAGGGAUUCCUUCCGGUCGAUGAGGAGGCUACCUUCCGGUUGAUGAGGUAUAGCUUCCUCAUCAACCGGAAGGACUCUCCUUUGGUCAAUGAGGAAGCU